AGUUACCACAGAUCUCAUUGAAAGGCCCCAAACUCUAUUGGAUUCACUGUGUUGAACAAAAGAAAAUAAUCUAUUCACAGCUGAUAGAAACUACUUGCAUAAUUAUAAAUCUCUAUGCACCUGUGUGAAACUCAUUUGCACAACUCUUCAAUCAGCAAUCAGUCCUCAUCCAUCUAUAAAAGAUGCCACCUCUGUGUUGCUAUUUGCAAGCAUGGAUCAAAGAGGCCAUAGGCUCAAGUUUCAAAUGAAAUUCGGGCAACAAUUAUUGACCAUGUCAUCAAUCAUGGCUUGUCCUUUAGAAAGGCUGGACAAAGGGUCCAGCCCAUUCUGAGUCGGAGCACUGUGGCAUCUAUUGUCAGGCUUUUUUGGAAUGAGAACAGGUAAUUCACAGUGUUACUGUAAUGUAUACCACUGUGUAUUUCAGCUUUACUGUAUUGCCCUGUUAGCAGAACAAACUGUGUCUACAGUAAUGCAGAUGUUUUAUCAAUCCCAUUUAUGUGACUGUCAUACAGUAAUGUCAAUUUUGACAUGCUUUUUGCUUUUACUUUAUAGAAUCCACACAUUACCACACACUGGUGGCAGAGGAAAGAUAUUUAGUAUUGAACAGGAGUCUGCCAUUGUAGAUAUGGUAGUGGCAAACAAUGCAAUCAGACUGCAUGAAAUCCAGGCAGCAGUAAUUGCAGAUCAGGGAGCAUUUAGGAAUAUAAACAGUGUGAGUUUGGCAACUAUAGAUCGAGUCCUUAAACCAAACCAUGUCAGAAUGAAGCAGCUGUACAGAGUUCCAUUUCAAAGAAACUCUGACAUCGUAAAGGAGGCACGAUUCCAGUAUGUGCAGAGAAUAAUGGAGCUUGAAGCUGAAGGGGCACAUCACAAAUUCAUUUUUGUGGAUGAAGCCGGCUUCAACCUCUGUAAAGUGAGGCGACGCGGGAGGAACAUCAUUGGGCAGAGGGCCACUGUCACAGUGCCAGGUCAGAGGGGUGCCAAUAUCACCAUGUGUGCUGCCAUCUCCAAUGAUGGAGUCCUUUGCCACAUACCAACUAUUGGCCCAUACAAUACAGAACGUCUCAUCACAUUUCUUGAUGCAUUGAAAGAUUUACUGAUUCCACCCGAAGAGAGAGGGCUGUUGAGGCCUGGCAUGACUCUGUAUGUCAUAAUUUGGGACAAUGUGGCUUUCCACCACUCUCGCCUUGUGAAUGAAUGGUUUGCAGCACAGCCUCGUAUUAUGAUACAAUUCCUCCCUGCAUACUCGCCUUUUCUGAACCCAAUCGAGGAGUUCUUCUCUGCCUGGAGGUGGAAGGUGUAUGAUCACCGGCCAUAUGAGCAGAUGCCCCUCCUGGAGGCAAUGAAUGCUGGUUGCCUGGCAAUAGGUGCAGAGGACUGCCAGGGAUGGAUACGCCAUGCAAGGAGGUAUUUCCCUCGGUGCAUUGCAAGGGAAAACAUUCAAUGCGAUUGUUGAUGAGAACCUGUGGCAUAAUCGUCAAGAACGAAUGGAC
ensembl:lncRNA